rnacentral:rRNA from 1 species
UACGGAGGGUGCAAGCGUUACCCGGAAUCACUGGGCGUAAAGGGCAUGUAGGCGGUUAUUUAAGUCUGGAUUUAAAGACCGAGGCUCAACCUCGGGAAUGGUCUGGAUACUGGAUAACUGGAGGACUGGAGGGGAGAGUGGAAUUCUCGGUGUAGCGGUGGAAUGCGUAGAUACCGAGAGGAACACCAGUGGCGAAGGCGGCUCUCUGGACAGUGCGUGACGCUGAGGUGCGAAAGUGUGGGGAGCAAACCGG